rnacentral:rRNA from 1 species
UACAGAGGGCGCAAGCGUUGUUCGGAUUCAUUGGGCGUAAAGGGUGCGUAGGCGGCGCGGUAAGUCGGGUGUGAAAUCUUGGAGCUUAACUCCGAAACUGCAUUCGAUACUGCCGUGCUUGAGGACUGGAGAGGAGACUGGAAUUUACGGUGUAGCGGUGAAAUGCGUAGAUAUCGUAAGGAAGACCAGUGGCGAAGGCGGGUCUCUGGACAGUUCCUGACGCUGAGGCACGAAGGUCAGGGGAGCAAACGGG